rnacentral:lncRNA from 1 species
CUAAUUAAUGUUGGAGGUCUUCUGUGAACUCCAUUGAAAGCCUCCUUGCCUGUUCUAUUUGACUAUUUUCAAUCUUCACGUACUCAUACUAUUAUUAUUAUCUUCCUCGCCAUCAGUUAAUACAUUUAUUUAAUACUUUAGAUAAUGAACCUCCACCAAGCAUAUAUAUGCUCACCAACAAAGGUCAACGACUCAACAGAAUGGAGCUUGGACACUUUAGCAA